GUGGAACAAGGUGCAUUGUGAGGUAAGAGAUGAUGUAAUAGCAAAGUAGUAAGAUGAAUAAUACAGCUUCUGAACUCUAGGACCUUUGCGAUCAUGACGACAGGAAUAGUAAUGGGAUGUGGGAUGCGUGAUUUGAUAGCACCUGAGACAUGCAUGAACAUGACCUCAAAUGUCCUUCGAAGCAAAACUGAUCCAGGGCUGAGUAUGUGGCUUGAUCAAUUUUGACACCCCUCCUCCAAAAGAUUUCCCCUUCUUGCUUGGAAACUCAUUGCCCCUGCAGGCUGGCCUUGAUUGUUUGUCAGCACCAAGGUGCAGGGGCUGUUGUAAGGCAAAAUCAAACUGCAGAUUGCUUUCUUGAAGAAGGCCACGCAACAGCUGCCUCGCGAAGGCAGAACUCUCCAAAGUGAUGUUUGUGAUUUCUUGGCUUCAAAGGGCUGUGUGGGGCUGCGUUGGCUGGCUGGGCCUCUUUCAUCUUUCUCAUUAUUUCCUGAGUGAAACGGCAGGAAUCAGAACAAGCCUUGAUUGGUUCUGAUUUAAAUGGAACUCCGGGAACGACACUCUGAUUCUUUCUCUUAAUUGGAACUUUUCUCUCUCUUGUUUUGGGCUUUGCCAUGCGUGCUGUCAAUUUGAUACCGCCUGCUGGAAUCCUCAUAGGGUUUGGAUUUAUAAAUAUGGAAAUUAUGUAAUUUCUCCUUUUAUGUCACUGCUUUCUGAGUUUUUAUUAACAUUGCUCAUUUCCCCCCCUUUAUGCCUAGUGGCUUUACUGAAACUUUCUGUUCUUUGAAAUAACAUUCUAGUUUAAAAGGUUCAGUCCAAAGUUGCUGGAAGGCAAGGCAAUGAAAAAGUUGGGAGUGUUGGACAUGGUGACACUACUGAAGGCAGCUUUCAAAAUGUUAAUAGUAAUAUAAAGAGAAAGAAAGAAAGAAAGAAAGAAAGAAAGAAAGAAAGAAAGCAAGCAAGCCACCAUGGGUCCGAGAAUAACUGAAUUCUAUGCAAAGACUAAUCUCAAAAAGUUGUAGUUAUAGGGGAAUCAUCUUUUUUUUUUCUUAAAAAAAAUGUUUCUAGAUCCCACUAUUACAGAAAUUGCUUCAUAAUACAAUUCUCAAGUCUUCCAAAAUAAUUAAUGUUUUUUAAACAUUUGGUUCUUAUAAUUUUUUGACCUGCUAAGUCUUUUUAUACUGUACUUUGCAAAACUAUAAUACUUAGAGUCACUGUUAUUUAUUUGAAAGAUUUCUAGGCUGCCCUAUAGGCCAAUGUCAUGAAUGGAUUCAUGCCAGUGACAUGAAAAUGAUCAGUUUCAGGUUUGAAAUCCACUUCUGGGACUUUCAGUAAAUUGGAAGAAGUGGCUGCAAUGUGCUCUAAAUAUUAAUUUAAUAAUUCUUUGAUGUUUUAACUACCUGAUUUUCUUUCUGUCUCUCUUAUAUGGCUUUCUCCUUUCCAGUUAAUGGCAGACCUCCUUGGCUUAAACUCGACAAACUAUAUCAAAUUGUGAAGAUUAAAAUUUUGAAGAUUUAUUUGCUUUGCUCACAAGAGAUGCUUUUUUCUUUACGUGUGUUUGCAAUAUAAUGUUCAGUCACUAGAUGGCUCUAUGUGCUCUGUGGAGUUAAAGAGAGGGUGUGUCCUUUAUAGACAAAGAAGCGAGAAGCAGCUCAAGGUGUGUGGAAAGGCAUUUUUUUGUUCGCAGGUAAAACUGAUGACAAAGACCCAUACCUUGUACAAUGAGCAGUUCAAGACCUGGCCAGAAUCUCCAUUUUUUUACUCUAACACAAUAGCAGCAAUCUUCAUUUCCAUUUAGUGAAAGAUGGAAGAUGUUUUCCAGUACUGUACAUUCGCUUAUACCACCAUUAUGCCAAAGAGGUAUGAUUCUUUGCAUAUACAUGUAUUUCCAAGAUCUUUCAAUCCCCAGCGAACAAGGGAAGGUGUGAAAAGUGUAAUCUUCUUAAAGGAUUUAUUUGUGUUUUGCAAAGGGUGUAAAGCUGACGAAAGGGCCCUGCUCCAGGUCAUCCUCUGCUUUUCUUUCCAUCUGCCUGCACUUAUCCCGUGUCAGUCGCUACACAGCCUCAGCAUGCUACUCACAGCGGUGCAGUUACCCAUUGCUGCAUCUUUGCGCAAAACUAAUGACAUUUUCACCAGUUUAAUCCUGGACAAAAGGUGGUUCCCAUAGCAGGCCAUAGUGAAAAGGGUUAAAUUGUUCACUCUGGCCAAAAUCGCCUCUUUUAUUAUAAAAUAUGUAUGAAGUAAUUUCUCAGAGCACAUGAAGCUCACUCUCUAUAUAGUGAAACCACAUGGUCUAGUGUUGCCCUACACCUGGGAUUUCUUGGACACGUCUGGUUUUGGGGAACCAGCACCCCCAUCCGGGCAGAUUUUUGCAUUUUGGAUUAAAUGUCCGGGUUUGCGUUUUUAAUAUUUUUUUGUUUUUGUUUUUGUUUUUGUUUUAAUUGUGAGGCAUGCACAUGCUCAGAAGGCACUGUGUCCAGGAACAGGAAGCAGGCAUCAGGUGGUCUGGAGCAGCUUGCCGGGGGUUGCACUAGGUCUGGUGUUCCUGGCUGCCGCCAAGCCUUGCACUGUCUUCCUGGGGCUGCGCUGGUCCCUGCAGUCACCUGGCCUUGCGUGGCCUUCUAGGGGCCACUCAGCCUCUCUUAUUGUGAGCAGGAGGCCGAAGACAGCAGAGAGGGGAGGGAAAAAGGGGGGAGCAAGCGGGUGAGGAAGAAAGAAGAAGAAGAGUUUGGAUUUGAUAUCCCACUUCACUACCCGAAGGAGUCUCAAAGCGGCUAACAUUCUCCUUUCCCUUCCUCCCCCACAACAAACACUCUGUGAGGUGAGUGGGGCUGAGAGACUUCAGAGAAGUGUGACUAGCCCAAGGUCACCCAGCAGCUGCAUGUGGAGGAGCGGUGAACCCAGUUCCCCAGAUUACAAAUCUACCGCUCUUAACCACUACACCACACUGGAAGGGGAGGGUUAGUGGCAGGGAGGGGGUGAGUGAGGGAGAUACGGGAUGAUGGGGGGUGUCUGGAUCGUGGUGAUGGGGAGUGUCCAGGUUUUUGAUCCCCGGAAUGUGGCAUCCCACAUCCAAACCUAUUUUGCUUCCUGCCACAGCUGACACAAAUGGGGAUAGAAGAGCCUGCAAUCACAUAUUUUACUCAUUGAAGCAAUAUUUCCUUUCUCGUCCGAAAUCUUUUGACAGUCAUGGCAAAUUAUAAAUACCUGUGCCUUUUCCGGCGUCUUUGCAAGAAUACAGAAAAUAUGAAGUGGCAUUAGAGAAGAAGAAGAAGAAGAGUUUGGAUUUGAUAUCCCGCCUUUCACUCCCUUUAAGGAGUCUCAAAGCGGCUAACAUUCUCCUUUCCCUUCCUCCCCCACAACAAACACUCUGUGAGGUGAGUGGGGCUGAGAGACUUCAGAGAAGUGUGACUGGCUCAAGGUCACCCAGCAGCUGCAUGUGGAGGAGCGGAGACAUGAACCCGGUUCCCCAGAUUACGAGACUACCGCUCUUAACCACUACACCACACUGGCUCCUCUGGUUGUGCUUACUGUUGGCAAGGCCAUGGUCCUGUGUUCAGAGCUUUGUGUGAUAACUGAAUAUUCUUUUUAGGCUUUCUUUUUCUUUUUUUGCUGAGAAGGAAGAAGCAACAGAUAUUAUUGCUUGGUAUGAAUCAAUUUGCAGCUGAUAGUAAUAUUCAUUUAUUUCGGUAGUGCUCCCAGUGUGCGUGGCAUUUUACAAGGCUAUAAGAGGACAGGUCUGUGUCCCGGGGGACUUUCAGUUUAAAAUUUGACAAGGGGAAACAACAGAAAAAGGGGGUGGAAAUGGAGGCUGGGGGUAAAAGGGACGCACUGUGUGUUUUUUUUCAAUUGCACUUUCUGAGACUCAGCUAUAAAUUGGGUUACAUUAGGGGAAGGCUGACUAAACUGUUUCUCUCCAGAUGUUGCUGGAUUACAACGCACAUCAUCUCUAUUUGCCAUAUUGGUUGGGUCUGAGCUGAAGCUCAGCAUUAGGCAGCCGCCCUUGCACUGUGGGGGUUCUUGUGCCUGUUAGAAUUCCUGCUCCAUGAUUGCAGUCAUGGGAUUUUUGUCUUUCACAUGACGUGGUAUGUUUUGACUCCACAGAGUGGGAAGUGACGGAGACAGAAUGUUUGUGUUACUGUGUUCCGCGAAGAGGGACUAUUGUCCUUUGUUUUUUCCCCUCUUUGCUGUCUGAUGCUAGAGAGAGAAGGAGCCAUGUUGCAGUGCUCCGUGUAUGUUUAUAUGUAAAUAAAGUAGAUUAGCCAAAAUGCUGAGUUGCUGAGUGGUGGAAAUGACUGGCAGAAUCCAAGACCAGGGAGAAGAGUCGGUGGAAGAAGAUUGGAAGAAAUUUAAAGACUAUUUACAGAAAUACUGCAAAAUUAAUGAAUGUUAGAAUGAUGUCAGAAUGAAAUUAAGUGGUCUUAGCAACAAUGUUAUAAAGGUGUAUGCACAAAUGGAUUGUUAACAGAUGAGAAUCUAAAGUUAUAAUAUGUUAAGUUAAAGGAUUAAGAUAAAAACAAAGAGGGAAAGGAAUUGCUGAAUUAACUAAUAGAACUGGAAUACAAAAAGGGAGGUGUGAGGAAGUCAGGGAAGUAAGGAAAUGAAAUGUAAGUUAUGGAAAGAUCGAUGUGUUUUUCUUUUAAGUGUUUUUUAUCUUUUUUUUGUAUUUUGUAUUUUUUUUCUUUUUUUUCUUUUUUACCUAUGUAAUUUUUUCUUUGAAACUUUAAUACAUAUCAUUUAAAAAAUAAUAAUAAUGCUGAGUUGCUGAGGUCUGUCACGCAAGUUGCGCAAACUCUGUGGAUCCCUGUAUGUGCCGGUGUCGGUUGGCAUUGGUCGCUGUGAUGUUUGGGCUGAAGAAAGCUUUUGAAGCUCCCGAACGAAAGGCCAGGAGGGAGAGAACAUGCCAGUCGGGCAUGUGUCUCUGCCAAGGUCCUACUCGAGUGUAGGCUGAACUCCUGACAGUGCCCAAGGCUUCAUGGAAGAGGUGGGUUUUGAGCAAUAUUGGGGGUGGUGGUGGCAUCUCACAGUUAUGCUAUGCAAUGAAAGCUGUGCCCCUGUGCCAAGGCUAGCAGUGUUCUGUCCUUUUUUGGUGCCUGGCACAUGCUGGGUCAACAGAACCCACCAUGCCAGGCCAGCCUGCACCACCAACGCCACCGGGCAUGUGCAUGCAAGGCGCAGAGGGUUCAUGGAGCCUGUGCAAGAGCUUGGCCCUGGUCACUGGUGUGGCUGUGCUGUGCCCCUACCCCCCGUCCCCUCCCACAUGCUAUGGUCCAGGCCUUUUCCAAGGCCUUCUUAGUUACUGUCAGAUUGCAGCAUAAACCACAGACACUAAAAGUGGCAUGUGUGAAAGGGUACAGAUCAAUGAUGGUAUGGUGACCAUUGGAGACAGUCAGAGCACAAGAAUGAAAAUGCUUAAAAAUGGCAGAAAGGGCUUAUUAGAGAACAGAAGUCAAGGUUGUGUUUCAAGUUUGCCCUCAGAAGUGCCCUUUAAGCAUCUGCUCAUAUUGGCAUACCAGGCUUACUCCCGUGAGUUGUGCUUGUUGUUUAAUUUUGCCAGGACCUGGAAGUGAAUCCAGAAGACUCACAGUGGGGGCUAUGAAUCCUUAUCCUGCUGGUAGCGACCACGACAGGAUUCAGCGGCGGCAGCAGAUGGGUCACACCUUGGAUAAUUUUCCAGCCAAGAGCUUUUACAGAUGAAUGGAUUGCAUGAGCUGUGCCUAAAAGAAGCCUUUGCUUGUCCCUUUUACUGCAGAAGCAAGAACACAUCAACGCUUUGAGAGCAAAGUCUGAAAAGGAGAGAGGGGGGAAACAAGCCAUUUGUGUAAUAUCUUCCUGCCUUUGCAAAAAGCUCCGGUGUAAUGAUGUUAUUUAGUGAGCAGAUUUUGCUUUCUUUUGUUUUUCUUUUCACCUUGGUUUUGGAUUCAUGUGCACUAAAACAAUGUUUAGCAAAGAGAAGAAUAAUUGAUUUCUUGCAAUAUUGCACAAAGCUGCAUUGCAAAAAGUAACUUAAGUGAUCAUUUCAUAUGAUACUUUACUGAUCAGAAGCAAACUACUUUCCCCCUGAGCAAAUUCUGCUUAUUUGGCUCCCAUGUGUGUCUCCAGGGCAGCCUAAGAAUAUGAAUUUGCAACACUGGUCUGUGCUAAAACAGAUUUUCCCCUCAGCAUUAGCUUUUCCAUUCCAGCUGGUGUAUUUGAAGUAUUGUAAUGGGUUUUUGUCUUUCUUUUGAAAUAAUUGACAGCACCCACAAUUUCAUAGUGACCUCUCCAAAUUCUGUUUAAAAUGAGCAAACCCCAAAUUUUCUAGAUUGUUUUGGUUAGCAAUAAUGAUAUAAAUGUCUAUAGCAGUCUUUCCGAAGAAUCUCAACCUUGUGUCCCCAGAUGUUGUUUGACUACAACUCCCAUCAUUGCUAGCUAGCAGGACCAGUGGUCAGGGAUGAUGGGAGUUGUAGUCCAACAACGUCUGAGGACCCAAGGUUUAGAAAAGCUGGUCUAAAGGGUAAAAGCCAAAGCCUCUGAAAGCAGGAGACCAGUGAGGAAACAAUACAUGUACAGUCAUACCUCGGGUUGAAUGUGCUUCAAGAUGAGUGCGUUCGAGUUGCGCUCUGCGGCAACCCGGAAGUAACACAGUGUGUUACUUUCAGGUUUUGCCGCUUGCGCAUGCGCAGACGCUCAAAAUGAUGUCACGCGCAUGCGCAGAAGCGCCAAAACGUGACCCACGCACUCAUAGAUGCGCGGACACGGGUUACAUUUGCUUCUAGAUGUGAACGGGGCUCCGGAACGGAUCCCGUUUGCAUCUAGAGGUACCACUGUAUAGUAUUUUAAGUACAUUAUUUUAAGAUGUCUUAAUAUAGUUGGACGUUUUGACUUGCUGGUUGCCCUGCAGGGACAGUAUGCAACACUUAUAAUGAACUGAUAUCUUUAUUAAAGUACUAGAUGAACCAGUCUAUUUGAUUUUAUGCUCACUGAGCUUGUUCCCCAGGUGAGUGACUAGAAAAAGCACAAUAUCUUUAAAGUAGGUUUCCUGGUUUUCCACAUUGGAUCAACAUGUGCUUUAUUGCUUUGUUCUUUGGAAUUUGUAGUUGUAGCUUCGAUUGCUGUAGUGCUGAGGUUGAAAACUUGUGCCCUUCCAUAUUUGUUGGAUGACAUCUCGCAUCAUCCCUGUCCAUUGGCCAUUUUGGCUGGGCUGUUGGGAAUUGAAGUCCAACAACAUCUGGAGACUCACAAAUUGCCCACCUCUGCUAUAUAAAAAAAUAAAAAAAUUGUCCAGUAGCACCUUAGAGACCAACUAAGUUUGUUCUUAGGUGCUACUGGAUAUAUAUAUAUUUAUGCAUCAGACCAAUACGGCUACCUACCUACCUACCACCUCUGCUAUAAUAGGUCAUGAAAUGAAUUUGUAGCUUCAUAUUUCAUGGUGUUGUAUGUGGGGCAUUUCUUAAAUAUAGGAAACAUCUUGACAUCUUGUGAUUGAUCUCAAGCCUGUACUUUGCAGUUGCUGAUGGAAACAGAAUGAAGCAUUUAAUUUUGUUAAACAUGAAACUGCAAUGAAUUGGCAGCUGUGGAUUUGCUACCUAAACAGAACAGUGUCUUCCUGGGGGGGGGGCAUUAGAAGGGGCAUUUAUGCUUGUUCAAACUUGCUGAAAUGAAUUGCAGUUGCACAGAGAGCUAUGUGACUAUAAAAAGUGAUGAAUAUAUAUAUAUAUAUAUAUAUAUAUAUAUAUAUAUAUAUAUAUAUAUAUAUAUUCAUGACAGCAGAGGGCUAGGACCGAAAAUAACAAGCCUCAUUUUUGUAAUGUAUUGCCUGAAAUGCACAACAUGAUGCGGGGAGGAGGCACAAGAAAUAGAAUUGAAUGAGAAGGCUAAUCGUUCACUCUGAGAAAGAGUGGAGUGGAAUGCCAUGACAUGCAUUCCUAAGGCACAUUCAUUCACAUCAACACAUUGAACCCAGAGAACUGUGAUUCACUUGUAGUGGCACAUGACUUGCAGCACAUGUGUGAUGGUGCUGUGGGUUUCAUUUUAUGCCUGUUUUGUUGCUGGGUGCAUGUUCGAGCUUUGCAAAAGAUUGCAUGUAGUAAUUUGGGGGGGAGUGAUAGGAAAGCCAUUUCCAUUGCUGUGGAGAUUAGAAAACAAAACGUUAGCUGCUUAAUGUGAAGAUGCAUGUGCAGUCCAUGCACUGUUCCUUAAAUGAAGCAAAGAAAAGCAUGAAGUGUGUGCACGGGGAACAUUAGUAGCUCUUCUAGAUUGUAUUAGCACUCUAUGAAUUUGGGUGACUUGGAAAGCCGCGUUACAUCCUAGCACCACGAAACCCUAUCGUUGAGAUCUUUGUGCAAGAAUCAGAGGCACAUGUCUCUCCAUAGCUGUCAACUUUCAGAUUUGAAAAUAAGGGAUCAGCAUCCUCACCUGUCCCGGGGACAGCCUACGGGAUAUCUAACAAUCCGGGAUAGCAGCAGGAAGCAGUGGGAAACGGCGCUGGAAUGAGGGAAUUUCCCGCAAAAAAGGGGAAGGUUGACAGCUAUGCGUCUCUCUUGUGCUAGCACUUUGCUCAUCUGUAAGCAUUAGAGUGGGCGAUUGUUGUGUUUCUUUAAACUGGUCAGGGUGCAAAAUAAAUCAAUAGCAUAUUAAAAUUACAUCAGAAAGGAUCAAAUGAACAUUACAUUUUCUUUGUAUAUCAUAUGUAUGUUCCAGAUCCGCGAUUUUCAGACAGAAAGUGGUGCACAAAGUAUUGCUUCAUUGAAUCAGUAGAACAUGGCAUUCUGUAAACUGCGUGUCCAUUUGAAACAGCUCAUGUGAGUUUCAGUGAGAGUACAGGGCACGGUUACAAAUUAUGUUGAUUUUGGCUCGCUUUGAUACGAGGCAAAUGGAACAGAGAUUGCACAAUUGAUUUGUCACCAGAACUGUGUGGAAUGCUUUUGGAGCUGCUCCUGUUUCCCAGCGAGGGCAGAAUCCGCCGUGUGUUGUAAGUAGGCACGCUCGCUGCCUCCCUUAUGCAAGCUCCCAAGAGAUACACACCGCCUGACAUCUGUUCAAAGCCAUCGUCAACCUGAGCAGCUGAGAUGAGCCACUUAAUAAGCCUUGGGGAACUGUCACUAAAAAUUCCCCGUAAAGGAAGGCUGAGAAAAUAGGCCUAAUUCCACUGCUGGGGGAAAAAUAGGUCUCUGUGUUGUUUAGCUCCCUCUCCCCCUGUACCUCCCCCCACCCUAGAACAAAAGCAGCAGAUAUCAUGGGGCUAUUAGACCCAAGCGCUUCAUGCUGACAGCCAAACUCAGGGGGCACUUAGGGAGCCAUUAAUACCAGCUUUUAUCGGCACUUAGCUGCUCACUCAGAGCCCCAAAGUGAAAAGCAGAGGCAGAGGCUCACGAUCUUCAUCAAAGGUGUCUUCAGGUCCCAGGGAGAUUAGCUGUAUGAUUUGGGGUCAGAAUGACCAAGGCCAUUACCAUGGUGGCACUGGAAAGAAAACUUGAAUAUUGUUGUAAUUUCUCCUACUCUUUUUAAUAUGUUGUGUUGCUAUGGUGGGUGUUUUUAGCUUGUAUUGUGCAAGCAAUUCUGGUGAAACCCACUGUGGCGUUUGCCCAUUCCUUGUGAUUUUGUUUGUAUAGGGGGAUGGAAAUGGUUAAUGUAGAUUGACCAAUGAGAAAGCUCAGAGGCGGAGCAUGCCUGGUUUUGAGGCUUAGCCCAGGGGUUUUACCAUUGGGAGAUAGAGGAGUCAGAGUCAGACAGAGCCAGUAAGACGAACAUAGCGGUUGUGACAGCUAGAGUGAGAGACAGGGACAGAACUGAGAGAGAAGAGUGUGACACUGUGAGAUAGUGCCACAUCUAGUUAAGGGCGCACAUUUGAGAAACCGUUCUGAAUAUAUUUAAUACUUGUUUGUUCUUCAAUAAACUUUAAUCUUCGUUGCUGACUUUACAACCUGACCGAGACUCAGUAUUUCACCAGAAGAAACCUGAUUGGUGGCAACAGAAGAAUAAAGCAAUGGUGUACAGGUCAAUAGUCCGUGAAACGACCGGGGGCUCUGUACGAACACCAAAUCUGCCAAAUGUGUGAGGGUUGUUGGGGUUUUUUAGAUGUGGGAAUUUUGUUGGUAUUAAUUCCUUUCCUCUUCUACACUUUUUCCAGCAAAAAAAAGAAAAAAAAGCUUCAUGGCUGCUGUUUUCCCUCGAAGUGGAGAAAAUGCAGAUGUUGAGAUUCCCUUGCAACAGUAGGGAAUCAGGAAAUGCCAACUUCCCAGUAUCUUUUAUUUUAGUUAUUCCAUGCAAUAUGCAUCACAUGAUUCUACAGCCACAGAAACUAAUUGGUACUAUGUCCAUCAUUUUUUACAGUGCAGUCCUCCUAUGCACCUCCUAGCUCUGGGAGAUUAUAUACUUUCCAUGCAUAAGGUGCUAGGUUCAAUCUCCAGCAAAUCCAGGAAGAGUUGUGUUCUAUAGACUGAUGGGCUGGCAUGGUAUAAGGCAGCUCAGCAGUCGCUGCCACUGUCUUCAGUGGGGCUUAAUCUAAUGCAAGUGUGCAUAAACUUUGCCAAAUCUAUUGUCCUGUGGAUUGUAAAGUGUGAUCCAGGCUUGAGUAUCAAAGCAUAGUUCAGGGCAACACUGGAUUCAUUACAUUACAUGAAGAUAUUGAAUUAAACUGAAAACUGAGGC